CGCACUCCAACAUUGCAAAUAGGAACUUUUACGUGUUUGACCGGAGAACUCACCAUAUUCCCACUGCUAGACAUUGUGUUCUCCGAAUCGUAUCUCCUCGGAAUCUCAUGCCUCCGUUGUUCAAUGUACACACUGUAUCAAAUAAGUGAAAAUAUAGUGCUUAAUUUGUGGAUUUAAGUAGUCAGGUAGCUGGAUAGUAAUAUUUUUUCUUUCAAAAAUACAGAUAAAAGGUCCAUUAGAAUGAUUUACCCUAAACAAAACUAGAAUGAGAAAAAAAAAAUAGAUGGAAUAUACUGUAAGGAACAUUGAGAAAAUAGAGAUGUUAGGGUUCUGAGAGAGCGCCGUUGAGUAUAUCUGGAAACAAACAUGACGACGGCAAUGGAGAACUCAGUCACUGAGUGAUGGAUAUCCGCCUUCUCGGAGUUUAUCGAGGUUUGCCGGAGAAGAAAGACU
rnacentral:lncRNA from 1 species